GUGAAUUUUUGGUGGUGCCCCACGCUUUGGGCAGGGAUGUGACCUUGAGUGUUUGAGCGUGGUGAGAAAUUUUUGAAAAGUCACGGAAGGGGUGCGUCCGGCUAUCGCUGAAUUUCCUCGGGAAGUAAUACCUGAAGCUGGGAAAGGCGGAAAAACUUCAGAAAAUCCUGUAAAUUUUUGUACACGCAUCAACACCGUACGUCCGGAAUACGUGAGUUUUGGUGGUGCCCCACAGUUUGGGCAGGGAUGUGACCUUGAGCGUUUGAGCGUGGUGAGAAAUUUUUGAAAAGUCACGGAAGGGGUGCGUCCGGCUAUCGCUGAAUUUCCUCGGGAAGUAAUACCUGUGAGCACUGCAUCCAGAGAUUCUUCUCAACCAUUGUCUACCUGAGUGUCUUUUUGGCGGUCGAAUACGGGAUCCUGGCCAUCAAUAAUGGCACCUACAUUGCCCAAGUGAUGCGCU